GAGUGAGGAGGGGGAGGAAAAAACUGGCCUUUGUUGUGAAGCCACGGUCCCAAACUUGAACCUAGAGGAAUGUUAAAGCUCUGAAAAAAAGUUAGGGAGCAGCCUUGCAAUUAUGCACUCAGCCUCAACAAGAGGGUAAGAACUUUCAAGGCACUGGAUUGAAGAGACACAAAAGUCAGGAAAUGACCCUUUCGUCGGGAUUUCAGAGGCCGCAGAGGAGAAACAAAGUCCUCUCACAACUUGGGAAACUUCGGACCGUACCAUCCCGAGGGGGCAAGGGUGGGGGAGGCCGGGAGAGGGCAGUGGAAAUUGACAUCUUCGUUCUCAACAAGCCGUGAGUAAACUGAGGAUUUCCCGGCUGAAAGGACUCAGUGUCUGCCUGUCCCCGGCCCAGAAAUGAAAGCGAGUUUCAGCCGAUCCUCAUUGUGGGGCCUGCUGAAAAAGCAGCCCGGGUCGCCCCGGCCAGCCCCGGCGUCCUGAAUCGGAGCCCUGUGCGCGCCAGGCCGGGCCGCGCGCCCGGGUUGCUGGAUGGCGUGCCCAGGCCAGCCCAUCUGCGGCCUCGGGCCGGCGGGGAGGAAGCGUCCCUGGGGAUGAAUGGGGCUUUGUUCGUAGGCAGCAGCGGCUACCCUCUGCAGGCCCGGCCCGCACAACAGAGGCUGUAUGCGAGAGGAAUGGAAAUGAGCCUCAGGCCCUGCCGAAGGAGCCCCAUCCCCUUCCCCGCGCGGGGCUGAGGAAUGCUGGCCAGCCGGAAAGGAACCCUCGCUGGGAACGCCGCUCUCGCGCCUCUGAAACCCCAUUGAGAAGAACCCUUUGAUGCAAUUAAAGCGCAUUUCAUUGCAGGCCUGGGAGGAGGGAACGACCGGCAAGCUUUUUUCUGUCUCGGACGUGUGUGUGCACCUUUGUGGGCCGGGUUACUUGGAGACCAGGCGGGAACUGGAGCUCCCUCUCUCGCAGACGUUCUGUAACAUCAGAAAAGCGUACCCAUAAACAGAUUGGUUUUCACCAGGGGUGGAACCCAAUUUGGACACGAUCCAGGCUGACCUGCAGGCCGGGGUUCCUACUUUGAAAGGCUCUUUGGUGCGCCUUACACCCACCUUCCCUGCUGUAAAGGUUUAGGCGGAAAAGAAAUUGCGUUUGCAGGAGGAAGUUGUUUCUGAGGUUACUGCUCAGCAUUUUCCAUUUUCUCAGUGGUGGGGUGGGCCGUGUCGCAUAUCCAGAAGUGAUGUCACAGCCAGACCUGCAAAAUGAUGUAACCUGCAAGUGUUGAAGGACGACGAUGGGACAGCUAUUUUGAUACUCGUAUUAUUUUAUAACAUUUCCCUACUUUUUCCAUUGAGACAACUGUGUGACCUCAGAAAAUCCACAUAGCCUCUCUGAACUUAGUAUUUUUUUGUGUUAAAAUGAAUAUCACAAAGCCAGAGAACGAAUGUGAUGAAGUUCUGGGUGCUUGUGGAAUUCUUUCUAAGUUGGAGGUGGACACUUUAUAUACCUGCACAGGGGGAAGAUACGUGGGUCUGGAACUCCGUGUAUGCCUCCUUGAGAACGCGAACCUUUAAACAACAACAACAACAACAACGAAACGAAGACAGAGUCCUGCCUGCUCUCCCAGGCUAGAGUGCAGCGUGCAAUCGUAGCCUACAGUAAGAAGGGAGAGCAAGAUGGCCAAAUAGAAGCCUCCAGCAAUUAUACCCCCCAACAGGAACAACAAAUUAAGCAACACAAGAAAAGCACCUUCAUAAAAUUGAAAAUUCAGCUCCUGCUCCUGCUGCCCUCAGGCUUGGCAGGGAGCAAAAAGACUAAGGAAUAAGGACUAAGGAGGACCUCCAGCACAGCACCGCUGCCUUAUGGAAAAGCAACCAGACUGUGUUCCAGUUUCCCUGAACAAGUUCUCUUUUGUCUGCUGCGAUGUGAGAUGUGACUUUCACCUUCUGCCAUAAUGGUGAGGCCUCCCCAGCCACGUGGAACUAUGCAGAACCUUCAAAGGAGUGUGGAAAGUGUCUGGAAGGAAAGGUGUGCACCUUGGAGCUUUCCUUGGAGUGUAUCAUUGAGCUCUUUGCGUUUGGGUGGUGAGUCUUUGGAAGGACAGAGGAGGGAAGGCCUGACACCUGACACUUGGAGAGCUUAAGCCUCAGAAUAAAAAAUUGCCGUGAAUUUGAAUGAAGAUAAGAGAAGAGGACAGUGAGAGAUGUUCCAAUGAUGGCAACACAAUGUUCCACGAUAAAACUGACACAAAAAACAAUGCAAAAUUUGUCUAAGAGAGGUUCAGCAAGCAUGAGAAAAACAUCUGAUAUCUCUCAGAGCCCGCCAAGUUUGCAGCUUACAGUGCCAGAGUAAUUAUGGGAUGAUUUGAACAGAGGCAAUGCAUGAGGAAGCCACUUCCAAAUGUAUCAGAUGUCCAGUUCCCCUUCCACUUCCACCAUGUUAUGAUACAGCAUGAGGCCCUCACCCAGAAGCUGACCAAAAGCAGCUGCCUGAUCUUGGACUUCCUGCCUCCAGAACUGUGAGCUAAAUAAACCUCUUUUCUUUAUAAAUUACCUAGUAUCAAAUAAACUGUUAUAGC